UUACUGAAUCGUUUACCAAGAAGUUUGGUAGCAGUUAAUCUGUGUCUUUGCUUUAGGUAAAUAGUUGUAGUUUAAGUUACCUGGUAAAGUAAGCUAGGAGUAUUGCUUCAAAUCGAGACUUAUAUUAGCUUUUGUAAGAUUUAAGUUGUCGAAAACAAAAUAUAUUAAUAUAUAGCUGCAUUUUUUGGUACAGCUUUUAUUAUAGACAUUUGCAUUCUUUUCUGUGGGUUUGUGAAUGUGUGAGGAGUUUUGGGGGAAGACUGGAAAGGAAAAAAGGAAUAACAGUUUGUAACCAGCACACUUUGACUAGGGAUAAAUGUAGGCGUGUUCUGAAGUCGUUUCCCAGGCAGAAACCAGGAAAUGUAGUAAUUGUGUCCCUUGGCUUUUCAUUAGUUUGUGUGUGUGUGUUGAUAGAUUUUAUUAAAUAAGGAUAUAAAGGAAGAAUAUUAUUUUUUCUGAUGUGACAAUAGGCAGUUUUCUAAAACUUGAAAUUAUAUUUUAUUUUGUUAUUAAAAUAAUUUCUUAAUUUUCUGGUGACUGUGCCCGGUCUUGCCUGCUGCACAGCUUUUUCUCUAGUUGCAGCAAGUAUGGGUUACUCUCUAGUUGCAGUGCUUGGGCUUCUCCUUUUGGUGGCUUCUCUUGUUGUGGAGGACCAGCUCUAGAUCGCACGGGCUUCAAUAGUUGUGGCACAUGGGCUCAACAGUUGCAGCUCCCAGGUUCUAGAGCACAAGCUUAACAGUUGUGACACAUGGGCUUUGUUGCUCCAUGGCAUGUGGGAUCCUCCUGGAUCAAGGAUCGAACCCAUGCCUUCUGCAUUGCCAGGAAGCUUCUUUACCACUGAGCCACCAGGGAAACCGUGGAAAUUUUAUUUUAAAUGAUCUGUAGUAAGUCUUGCAUUAUAGACAAGAAUUUUAGAUCACUGGGUACCAAGACCAAAUUAAAUGGAGAAGUAGAGGGAAAAUUUCUAGUGAAUAUAAUUUUUGUUUUGCUUUAACAGUUUUACAUGUUUCAACAGUUCAGUGCAAGAUGGAUGUUUUGAAACACCAGUUACAAGCAUGUACUCCAUAUAUAAGGUUUGCUUUGAUUUCUAAUCUGUUGAUCUUGGAGGACUGAAAUCUUAUAUUCACAUUAUUUAUUAAGUAUUAAUAUAUUCUAAGGCACAGUUUUAGCACUUACAUUCCUAUGUGGGCAGCUUCCCUGGUGGCCCAGUGAUAAAGAAUAUGCCUGCCAGUGCAGGAGACGUGGGUUCGAUCCCUCGGUUGGGAAGAUCCCCUGGAGAAGGAAAUGGAAACCCACUCCAGUAUUCUUGCCUGGGAAAUCCUGUUGACAGAGGGCCUGGUGGGUGUCUGUCCAUGGGAUUACAGAAGAGUUGGACAGGACAUAUGAACUAAACAACAAUAUCUGAGUCACCAGAGAAGCCACCUAUACACUAAUAUAAGUGCUAAAACUGUGCAUUGGAAUGUAUUAGGUGCUCAGUAAAUAAUGUGAGUAUAAGGCUUCAGUCUGCCAAGAUCAACAGACAGUAAAGAAUCUGCCUGAAAUGCAGCAGGAACACUGGAGUGGGUUGCCGUUUCCUUCUCCAAUGCACAAAAGUGAAAAGUGAAAGUGAGGUCGCUCAGUCAUCUUAGCGACCCCAUGGACUGAAGCCCUAUAGGCUAGCAUAAGUACAGAGAAAGUUGUUUAACAACUGAUGAUAAGGAUAACAUCAACCAGCAUUUAUUGGGAUGUGCUUUGGGCUAGGCAGUGUUCUAAAUUCUUACAUGCAUUAGCUUAUUGAAUCCUUAGAACCACCUUGAGGAGUGUUAUUACUAUGAUCUCCUUUUUAAGCAACAUAGAAAUGUUGAAUGACUUUCCCAUAUCAAACAGCCUAUAUGCCAGAGCUAGGUAGGAUUCAGACAGACAGUUGGGCUCCAAAAAUCCUGAUCUUAGCCCUUUCACUAUACUGAGUUUAGAAUUCUGUGAGUGAGAUACAAAUGAAAUCCAAGGAGUACUUAAAAGAAAGUUCUGUGAAGAACUUCUUCAACAAGAAGGAAAGAGAGAGAGAAACUGAUAUUGCAAGGUAA
ensembl:lncRNA